AUUGAACGCUGGCGGCAUGCUUUACACAUGCAAGUCGAACGGCAGCGCGGGGGCAACCCUGGCGGCGAGUGGCGAACGGGUGAGUAAUGUAUCGGAACGUAUCCUGUAAUGGGGGAUAACCAGUCGAAAGAUUGGGUAAUACCGCAUACGCACGAGAGUGGAAAGUAGGGGAUCGCAAGACCUUACGUUAUAGGAGCGGCCGAUAUCUGAUUAGCUAGUUGGUAAGGUAACGGCUUACCAAGGCGACGAUCAUUAGGGGUUCUGAGAGGAAGGUCCCCCACACUGGUACUGAGACACGGACCAGACUCCUACGGGAGGCAGCAGUGAGGAAUAUUGGUCAAUGGGCGCAAGCCUGAACCAGCCAUGCCGCGUGCAGGAAGACGGCCUUAUGGGUUGUAAACUGCUUUUACAUAAGCUAACCGUAUAUUUUGCGAAUAUACCUGAAUGUAUUAUGAGAAUAAGGAUCGGCUAACUCCGUGCCAGCAGCCGGCGGUAAU
rnacentral:rRNA from 1 species